GGGUAUGUAGCUCACAGAAAUGGCCGAGUCCGCCUGUCGAGCGGAAGGCCGGGAUUUCGAAAUUCCUCAUACCCGCCA
rnacentral:tRNA from 1 species